UAACGCGAAGAACCUUACCAGGUCUUGACAUCCUUUGACCACUCUAGAGAUAGAGCUUUCCCUUCGGGGACAAAGUGACAGGUGGUGCAUGGUUGUCGUCAGCUCGUGUCGUGAGAUGUUGGGUUAAGUCCCGCAACGAGCGCAACCCUUAUUGUUAGUUGCCAUCAUUUAGUUGGGCACUCUAGCGAGACUGCCGGUGACAAACCGGAGGAAGGUGGGGAUGACGUCAAAUCAUCAUGCCCCUUAUGACCUGGGCUACACACGUGCUACAAUGGGAAGUACAACGAGUCGCUAGACCGCGAGGUCAUGCAAAUCUCUUAAAGCUUCUCUCAGUUCGGAUUGCAGGCUGCAACUCGCCUGCAUGAAGCCGGAAUCGCUAGUAAUCGCGGAUCAGCACGCCGCGGUGAAUACGUUCCCGGGUCUUGUACACACCGA
rnacentral:rRNA from 2 species